GUGUCAGCAGCCGCGGUAAUACGGAGGGUGCGAGCGUUGUCCGGAAUCACUGGGCGUAAAGGGCGCGUAGGCGGCGCGACAAGGCGGCGGUGAAAGUCCGGGGCUCAACCCCGGAUCGGCCGUGGCGACUGUCGUGCUCGAGCACAGUAGAGGCGGGUGGAAUUCCGGGUGUAGCGGUGGAAUGCGUAGAGAUCCGGAAGAACACCGGUGGCGAAGGCGGCCCGCUGGGCUGUGGCUGACGCUGAGGCGCGACAGCGUGGGGAGCAAACAGGAUUAGAUACCCUGGUAGUCCACGCCGUAAACGAUGGGCACUAGGUGCCUGGGGGAGCGACCCCCUGGGUGCCGGCGCUAACGCAUUAAGUGCCCCGCCUGGGGAGUACGGCCGCAAGGCUGAA
rnacentral:rRNA from 1 species